UCUCAGAUGCCACAAUGGGUCAGUGCAUCUGGCUGUUAACUAGAAGGUCGGUGGUUCGAGCCCAUGCAGGGAUGUCUGUGAG